GCCCAGAAUGCCAAAGAGCAGCAGGAUGGAUCCAGCAUCCUCUCCUGAUAAAAGAGGGCUAGAAGACGGGAGGCUCCGGGAAGUCUACUGGAGUCAUGAAGACACUGAAAAGUGAUGAAUCCACAUAACCAUGACACUGGAAAUGAAGUUUGAGUGGCAGUCAGAAUCUGGGAGGAAGCAUUGCUAAGUGAAAAUCUUAUGGAGCUUGACUAAAAAUCCCUGUCAGGAACCGUCAAAAGCUGUGUCCCUGACAUGAAAAAUCUUGCUGGAAGUUGAGAGAGGUUUAUGCCUACUCCGUGAUCCGGGAACACAAGACCUUUACCAACCAAAAAAGUGGAUAGCUGUUCUUCUGCUGUGAAGGUUAAUAAAGAACGCCAGAAGUGCCAAGCAAUUAACAACCCCAGAAGCAACCCUUAACCAAUGAUUAAAUAAAGUGGAUGAUUACAUACCCAAGCUCCUUCAACUCCCAGGGACAUAAUUCUGAGCCCUGUCCACCACAGCCAGCUGGCUGAAGAGCUCAAAAGGCAAGAAAUCAGCAAGAGAGAGAGAUGAAGCAUGAGAAAUGAGCAAAAAACACCCAGCACAUCAUAAUCUUGGACAGUUUAGCAGUACAUGAAAAUAGAUGGUCCUCGCCCCAAGGGACUGCAGUAACCCUGAAUAAACAGGAUGUCUCUCACUUUUAGCAGUUCUUUCUGUGCUAGUAUUGGGGAAAUAUAUUUUUGGCUGCAUGCAAAAUGGUAAAAGACAUCUAUUAAGAAAAUGAAAACAAUGCUUCUGUUUUAGACGAAGCUUUUGAAGGUUUAAGGAUCACCUAUUUAUUGACAAAAUUGUUUCCGUGGCUUAAAAAUAAAAUACAAACAAAUACUA
rnacentral:lncRNA from 1 species